rnacentral:lncRNA from 1 species
GUUGAGAGAGAUACAAAAUGUACAAGUAAGCAAUACCUUAACAAUUCAUAAAGAGAUAGGAAAUGAAUUCAAUAAAUCAACUAGAGAACCGAACUCAUGAAAAAAAGAAAGACUGUCCUCUCUGAUACAUGGUAUGUACGGGUGGUGUGGAACUUACAAAUAAACGGUUACUAAAGGUCUGAAAUAACUGUAAAAAUUCCCUUGGGGUAAUAGCAGGAUAAACAUCUGCAGUUGGGGCCAAGCAUCUGAAGCAAUCCCUCUAAAAACCAGAAAUGGCUUCAUCCAUAAUGAUUUUUUUUUUUUUUUAAUUUUUACCAGGUCACUGAUUAGUGAUAAUGAAUGUCAUACUAAACUCAAAUCUAAAAUAAAAGUUCAUCCCAAGCUAACAUAGGCCAGAGGCCCCAGACUUGGAACAGAUACUUAAAUGGCGAGGGGUUAAACAAGUUUUUCAAAAUCUCAACUAAAUGAAGAAGAAGCAACGCACAACAAUACGCACAGUAAAAAUCAUAAAGAGUCCAAUAUCAGAAUAAGUAACAAAUUAAACAAACAAAAAUUGAAAAUGACGAUAUUACAAAAAUCAACAAGGGACUACGAACAGUUACCAACAUGCCAGCUCCAGACCUCAAUUAAACUGUUCGAAAAACUAUGUCUUGAAUAUACGAAAAUCUAGCACCAACCCGUCAUGGGGGUUUAAUAUCAUAUCACCAUAAAAUAUAUUAGAAAAACAUAACUCUUAUCAUACCUGCAACUGGUUUAAAAAUAAAGGAGUUUUAGUCUGAUGCAUAGAGAUGUGCAAGUGAAUCAAUAUUGAAGCCAAAAUAAGCCAUAUAUAUGCAGGCAACAGUAUUUCUACUUUAUAUAAGUUUGCUUUUAUGUUUUGUUAGUUUUUGAGGUAAAAGCUGACAUUUGUCCGUUGUAAAGUGUAUUACCAUAAAAGAUUGGAUGGUCAAUACCUGAAUGUGUAAGAUGACUAUGUAGGAGUGAAAUUAUUAUAAUGUAAACGCCCAUAAAUACAAAGCAAGAAUAACUGGAUCAACUCAGGCAAACGCAAAUUAAAAGAAUGACUAUGAGAACCCUAUACUAGAGUCUAAAUCCAUGUAAGCAGAAACAAACAUUUAGUAUAACAGCAGCAACCACUCUCUCUCUCUCAUCUUGGGUUUGAACCAGGUUGCCCAAAUGAAACCUUAUUUCCAUUAAAGGACAAGGUGAUUUGAACUUGGAUAUCACAAGAAGGCCUAUAUUAAUCAAAGUAAACCUGGUUAAAGUUACCUGUUAGGACAUCCAAAAGUUAUAAAGGAUGACCUGUGUUACACAAAAAAACAAAACACAAACAAGUGCUUAACAACAUCUAGAUACCCUCAUAAUUAAAAGCAUAACAUUUCAAAUAGUCCCAGCAUUCAUGCUAACUGUUACUGAAAUUCAACCGGUACUAUAAUUUCAUAAUAAAUAACAACCAUAAUUUGGAAUCAACUGUUGCCAAGCAACCAGUAGGGCCAAUGAUUUAUGCAAAUGAAAAGUUCCUCGUAAUGCACCAGCCUAAAAUAACAAACGGCACCUAAACAUACAGUGUACGAUACUCAUAAAUUGGGCAACUUCUAGAAUUCCCAGGAUGAAGAUUACAAUACAUUCUAGACUAGUAUAUAUAUAAAUUAAAGCUGUUUUCGACACCUAAAUACUAAAGAUUUUUAACGGUGGAGCAGACUGCAAGACAAGCUGUAAAUAAUUACUUAGUUUGUACUAGAUUUGCUAAUAUUACAUGUACAUAUCCGUUUAACUGCUACUGACAAAUUUAAAUUACACAAAACUUGAAAUAGUCUCAUUUAAAAGUUGAUUACAAGAUAAAACCAUUGGACCCCUUUUUUCCCUUAAUAUAUAUAUACAUGUAUAAAAAAAAAAAAAUCAAUAAUAAUGAAAAUGUCCCACACCCUGAGACUGGUUGGUAGGGUUUGUGGCAAACAGCAAUAAGAAGUCUGUCCUAAAUUAGUGAUCAAUAAAUAUACACUUCUAUAAACUUUUGUCCUUUAAAUUGUGGUACUUUAUUGCAAAAUCUGUAUUCAUGCAGUACAUGCAUAUCUGAUUUUUUUUUUUUUAUCAGGUUAUUAAACAAGAUAAAUAUUAUAAUGUUAUAUAAAUCGAUAGCGUCCUCCAUUCAAAAUGUGAUAAAUACCAAACAACAUUUAAAAGUUUCAAUGUAAUAUAUUAUAUAACAAUUAUAUAGAAUGUAACCUCAUAUUUACGAAAGUUUUUUAUUUCAAACACAUGAUGCGGCAUCCCAUCAUUGUAAGGCCAUAUAAAUUUGUAAAAGUAACACAUUCAGCAAUUUUAAGUUUAGAAACUGAGAUAUAAACGUUACACAAAUCUUUUCA